GACUUUCAUUAUAUAUAUAUAUAUCAACUUUCAUUAUAUAUAUAUCAAAUCUUUUUUUCCUACCGAGCCCCGGAAGGGACAUGUCCGUAUGGCGAAGCGACAACGAAGGACACUCACCCGGACGAGAAUUUUAUUGAGUUUUAUUUUAAAAUCGGCCUGAAACACACAGACAUUCAAGCAGUGCGAUGCGCUAAGAGUCUGCCAUGCAGACCAGCGAUCCUGAUAAUGUUGUUGGCCUUGGAUGAUGAGGUCCAGUUACCAGGAGCACUAGUCUGCAGCUUACUGGUUCCGUCCUGCAGCUCCUCCACGCUGUCCUCCUCUCUACAGACCAAAUCAAGAAAAGGGAAGCAGGAAGCUGCUGUGGAUCCUCUGCAGUAUCUGGAGAGGUCAGAGGAACGGUUCUUGGAACAGAUCAGAAGAGACCAAGACGUGACCUCUGCCAUGCUCCAGAACAUCCAGAAGAUGAAUGAAAACCUUGGUUGCACUGAUGGGACGCAUGGUGUCGGUGCUGGAGCAACUGUCCCAGAAUUAAACUGCAUUGUUGACUAUUGGCUUUUCUAGAAAAUAAAUCUUUUUUAGUACUUCA